rnacentral:lncRNA from 1 species
ACCCCCAUACCUCACCACCAACCUCACCCCCAUACCUCACCUCCAUACCUCACACCUCACCACCAACCUCACCCCAUACCUCACCACCAACCUCACCCCCAAACACUCGUGCGAGCAUUCCACACCAUCCAUACUCCACCACCAAAAAUCCCUCGGCAUCCCACCAACCACACCGUGCUAUCGGCGAUGUGCAGGCGGAUACACAGCUUGCUCAGUGCCGAGGCCACGGCGUUCUCGCCAGACUCGAGUCGGAGCGCCGUGUCCAGGGUCCACACUGCAGCGCGGCACAGGUCACACACAGGUCCAUCGGGAUUCGUGCGGCUCCACCGGCCGGGAGUGUCCGGCAGGCAGCGCGACCAUAAGGAGUAGUGGAGCCAAGACGAGUACACGAUGCUCCAUGAUCGGCGAGGACACGGUCUUCUACUGGUCCGAUUUGUCACGUUUCCUAAUGACGUCAUUACGUGAUGGGCGAUGGCUGCUUGUUUGAUGCUGUCGAACGUUCGUCUUCAAAAUCAGUUUGACGUCACCGUUAAUUCAAAACGCCGAAGCAAAAGUCGUCCUUCAACUCAGAAUGGUCGAAAGAACGAUGCGAGAAGAGUGAGGCAAGGUAUCUGAAACUUUUUAGCAGAGCCAGGAUAUAUUUGUGAUGUCACUAAGUUUGAAUCUAAAAUGGAUAUUAUCGUAUGUUCCACCCAUGUUUUUCUUCAUGCAUAUUUAUGUGGGGGGGGGGGGGGGGGGGGGGGGGGGGGGGGGGGGGGGGGGGGGGGGGGGGGGGGGGGGGGGGGGGGGGGGGGGGGGGGGGGGGGGGGCCGCCCAUAUUUUUCCUCAUGCAUAUUUAUGCUCCGCCCAUGUUUUUCCUCAUCCAUAUUUAUGCUCCACCCAUGUUUUUCCUCAUGCAUAUUCAUGGUUUUCCUCAUGCAUAUUUACGCUCCAUCCAUGAUUUUCCUCAUGCAUAUUCAUGUUUUUCCUCAUGCAUAUUUAUGUUUUUCCUCAUGCAUAUUUAUGCUCCACCCAUAUUUAUGCUCCACCCAUGUUUUUCCUCAUGCAUAUUCAUAUUUUUCCUCAUGCAUAUUUAUGCUCCGACCAUGUUUUUCCUCAUCCAUAUUUCUGCUCCACCCAUGAUUUUCCUCAUGCAUAUUCAUGUUUUUCCUCAUGCAUUUUCAUAUUUUUCCUCAUGCAUAUUUAUGCUCCACCCAUGUGUUGCAUCAUCGCUGCUGCUUGGAAGCCAGGAUGGCUCUUCCGGGGGGGGGGGGGGGGGGGGGGGGGGGGGGGGGGGGGGGGGGGGGGGGGGGG